GCCCCACCAACCGAACUGCCUCCGUAUGGUGUGCGUGACUACCGAUCGGUAGUCUAGGGAAGUGGGGCGCAC
rnacentral:sRNA from 1 species